ensembl:miRNA
GGCGUGUGUGUGUGUGUGUGUGAGUGUGUGUGUGCAGACACGCGUUUGCCUCACAGCCCCGCCUGCCC